rnacentral:rRNA from 1 species
UACGUAGGGGGCAAGCGUUGUCCGGAUUUAUUGGGCGUAAAGAGCGUGUAGGCGGCUUCACAGGUCCGCUGUGAAAACUCGAGGCUCAACCUCGAGAUGUCGGUGGAAACCGUGUGGCUAGAGUCCGGAAGAGGAGAGUGGAAUUCCCGGUGUAGCGGUGAAAUGCGCAGAUAUCGGGAAGAACACCCGUGGCGAAAGCGGCUCACUGGACCACAACUGACGCUGAUGCACGAAAGCUAGGGGGAGCAAACAGG